rnacentral:rRNA from 1 species
CCUACGGGAGGCAGCAGUGGGGGAUAUUGCACAAUGGGGGGAACCCUGAUGCAGCGACGCCGCGUGGGUGAAGAAGCGCCUCGGCGCGUAAAGCUCUGUCAGCAGGGAAGUAAAUGACGUUACCUGUAGAAGAAGCCCCGGCUAACUACGUGCCAGCAGCCGCGGUAAUACGUAGGGUGCAAGCGUUAUCCGGAUUUACUGGGGGUAAAGGGGGCGCAGGCGGCGUUGCAAGCCAGGAGUGAAAGGCCCGGGCCCAACCCGGGGACUGCAGUGGGAACUGCGGGGCUGGAGUGCAGGGAGGGCAGGCGGAAUUCCUGGUGUAGCGGUGAAAUGCGUAGAUAUGAGGAAGAACACCGAUGGCGAAGGCGGCCUGCUGGACUGCAACUGACGUUGAGGCCCGAAAGCGUGGGGAGCGAACAGGAUUAGAUACCUCAGUAGUC